rnacentral:rRNA from 1 species
GAUGAACGCUGGCGGCGUGCUUAACACAUGCAAGUCGAACGAAGCAUUCUUCCGGAGUCCCUUCGGGGGCGAAGGGGGACUGACUGAGUGGCGGACGGGUGAGUAACGCGUGGGUAACCUGCCCUAUACUGGGGGAUAACAGUUGGAAACGGCUGCUAAUACCGCAUAAGCGCACGGCACCGCAUGGUGCAGUGUGAAAAACUCCGGUGGUAUAGGAUGGACCCGCGUCUGAUUAGCUGGUUGGUGGGGUAACGGCCUACCAAGGCGACGAUCAGUAGCCGGCCUGAGAGGGCGACCGGGCCACAUUGGGACUGAGACACGGGCCCAAACUCCUACGGGAGGCAGCAGUGGGGAAUAUUGCACAAUGGGGGAAACCCUGAUGCAGCGACGCCGCGUGAGCGAAGAAGUAUUUCGGUAUGUAAAGCUCUAUCAGCAGGGAA